UACCGAUAAUAGACGGUUACUCCGAUACGCAAUGUCGUAUGUAGAAGGGAUCGUAUUCUUUGGUGAAGCGCAGGCAUCAAGCAAUUGUCGCAUGGCUUCGUCAAAAUUUCGUGCGCGCGUGUUCGCUCGAAUACUUUAUUUGUGCGGUAUCGCGAAUGCCUAAUGAAACGCCUUUAGUCGUCGUGUGAUCGUGUUAGAUACAAAUUUUUCGAUCGGCAGUGAGUGUGUUUCGUUUCUACGCAUCAUAUUUACGUGUGCAUUCGGACGACUCUCGUCGCUGUUUUGGUUGAUACGACGCGCCGGCCGCUCGUUUUACCUUAUUCCGUCAUGUUUGUUGUUGUUUGGUCGGGCGUGUCGUACUUUCCACGUUCUUCGAGCACAUGUAUGCGUUGUCGUAAGUUAUAUUCGCCAUUUGCGAAUGUAGCAGUGGACGAUUGUAAUGACACGCAAAUCGUUUAGUAAUUUUAGUAUGAUGCGUAGAAACAAUCGCAUUCAUAAGUUCCUUUAGCACCUGUUACAUCGCAACAAGCUGAAUUCUCGCCAAUUUUCGUGUGUGUUUGGCAUCUUAUUCACAUUCGUGUAUAAUGUGUUAGGUCGGCAUUAUAUUGGUCAUGCGACAAAUUUUUUGAGCAUGCUGAUUGAUUGUAGAAUACAGAAAUUUUGGAGUUUCUAGAAUCUUCUAUCCUAUAGUCAUGCUUAAAAAAUUUGUAUGACAAAUGUAAUAACCUUUUUCCGCGAAUAAUUGGUUGAUUUGACGCGAGUGCCGAAUAAAGUAUCGGGUGGUCUUAUUAAUCUACGAUUCGAGGUGAGCAGCACAAAGAAAUGUCAACAGAAUUUCAACGAAUAAACGAUAUCCGUGGAGCAACUCGAGAGGAAUCAACAGGAAAAGAAAUACAGCAGCAUCAGCAACAGCAGCAACAACUGACAAUGAAUUUACAGGAUCUGAUAGAAGGAGGUGGCCUGCAAUGGUAGAGGUAUCUGGCCUCGGCGGAGCAACCUUGGG
rnacentral:lncRNA from 13 species